rnacentral:rRNA from 1 species
GAUUAACGCUGGCGGCAUGCCUAAUACAUGCAAGUCGAACGGAAGCAGCAAUGCUUUAGUGGCGAACGGGUGAGUAACACGUAGGGAACCUACCUAUACGACGAGGAUAACUACUGGAAACGGUAGCUAAAACUGGAUAGGAUCAAUUGAGGCAUCUUGAUUGAUUUAAAGAUCCUUCGGGAUUACGUAGAGAUGGCCCUGCGGCGCAUUAGCUAGUUGGUGAGGUAACGGCCCACCAAGGCGACGAUGCGUAGCUGAGCUGAGAGGCUAAACAGCCACACUGGGACUGAGACACGGCCCAGACUCCUACGGGAGGCAGCAGUAGGGAAUUUUCGGCAAUGGGGAAACCCUGACCGAGCAAUGCCGCGUGAACGAUGAAGGUCUUCGGAUUGUAAAGUUCUGUGAUUGGGGAAGAAUGGUAUUCUUAGGGAAUGAGGAGUACAUGACGGUACCCGAUUAGAAAGCCCCGGCUAACUAUGUGCCAGCAGCCG